rnacentral:rRNA from 1 species
CCCUUUAGAUACCCGGGUAGUCCACACCGUAAACGAUGAAUGCCAGACGUCAGCAAGCAUGCUUGUUGGUGUCACACCUAACGGAUUAAGCAUUCCGCCUGGGGAGUACGGUCGCAAGAUUAAAACUCAAAGGAAUUGACGGGGGCCCGCACAAGCGGUGGAGCAUGUGGUUUAAUUCGACGCAACGCGCAGAACCUUACCAACCCUUGACAUACUUGUCGCGGAUUCCAGAGAUGGAUUCCUUCAGUUCGGCUGGACAAUGUACAGGUGCUGCAUGGCCGCCGUCA